rnacentral:rRNA from 1 species
AUGGAGUACUACAUUUUAAGUCGAGGAGAAGAUGGUGCCUGCUCUGUGAUGAUGACACCAGCACCUACGACUUCCUCGACCACCACCACCAUGAUGACGACUUCCUCGAACGUGGCAGGAGCUAGCAUAUUAGGAAUGAAACAUACAAGCCCAGUGAACACUGGAUUCACGCACAACCACAGGAAAUCCCUCCAACCUAAACUAACCUGUGAAUCCCGCUUCGGCGAGGCGGGUGAGGAGGAGGGUUACCAGAGGCUGGAGGAAAAUGAGAGCAUGGACUGCGAGCCGAGCAUCCCCAUCGCUGGCGAGCUGAGCAUCCCCAGCCGGUAG